CUACCCUCCAGAACCAAAUUCCUACUACUUGUUGACAUUUCUCUGUUGUUAGCAGAGGCUGAGUGUAGCAUCUUUGCUAAGGUCAGUGAUUUACAGUAUGUACAUUCGGCAGAAUUGUUUUAUGCAGUGAUUAGAUUAAAGCUAACUUCAUCCUCUGAAUUAGCAGUGCUCUGCUUCAUCCAUAGAGGACUGCUGAGUCAGAUCACGAUGAACAAACACACACACACUCGACUGGACCUUGUGUGUCUUUCCAAAUCCAGAUACAUCAGCUAUGCCAAUUCUAAUCCUGCUCAGAGCGAACAUUUGAGAAGAAUUGGUGCCAUGACCUGGAGGGGUUGACUGUAACAGAGUCCAGCUAGUAAGUGCUUUGCAGGUAAACCUCACUCCUUUGAUCUCAAGAGAUGCACUAGCCACUGAAGCUAGGGGCCGCAGUGUUUGGCAUCCUUGUUAGCACUCCUGCCUCCCAUGGCAGAAAUGCCAUUUCAAAUUGCACUUGUGGUGAGUAGAAUCAAAGAGGUUACAUAAGAGGCUUCUGCACCAUGUAGUUCUAAUAAUUUUGGACUAGGAGCUAGCCAUCUUGGUGGUUCCUAGAAAACCAAUUUCUCCCUCUGUUUUUUUUUUUUUCUGGUUGCAUUCCCACCGGCAGGAGGGAUUCUGAAGCAGCUGACAGCAAUGUCUUUGUUUGAGGCGUUUAUGGAUGUUAACCGUUGAAUAGAGGACAUCGUGAUCGGAGCAGUUUCUAUUGCGUGUCGUGGGUCUCGUAAUAAUGGAGAUGGAAUGUAAACGCACAAUAUAUGCGAUUGAAAGGGCAUGAAAAUCUGACUGAAUCUCCUAUGACAAUUUGCAGUGUUGCAUAUCACAGUGGCUGAGAAAAGAACACAAUGCUGCACUAACAGGUUAAUAAAAUGUUUGUUUUUUUUAUACAUUUGGCCAAUCAAUGUACACUUACUGGUAAUUCCUAUAGAACUGUUUUAGACCCUACUCUGAAGCAGGAGCUAAUUUAGUUUCCCCCAAAUGGAUUUCCUAGAACUUAAAUUGUUCCUAGUUCCAGUGGUGCGAACACACCAAUAAAUGGGUACUUCCUCUAAUAGUUCUAGGAACUAUGAAAAGAUUCCCCUUGUGCGAAACCCCCUACUGACAUCAAGAAAAUAACUAUGACAUUAAUUAUAGAUGCACACAAUAACAUUCUGUUUAUCCUAAGUGCACUGUAGUUAUGCCAUUUACUGCUUAAAAUACAUUAGUUAAAAAGUAUCCAUUGCAUGAUCCCCUCUAGUGUAUAUGGUCUCAAAGCUCAUAGCUCAUCAUUUCAAUUGUGAUUUCAAAUUAUUUAUCUAAACAGCUGCAGUUGAAUAGCUUGAAUUAAAAGCGUUGAUGUAGCCAAAUAACCUUGCAAGGGUAAUUAGCUCACCUGUUAUGAGCAAAGCGAAGCAGAGAGACAGAGCGAUGGCAGAUAGAAACUCACUCAGUGGACUGUGUCUAAAAUAGACUCUCCCCACAGAUGCUUUGG
ensembl:lncRNA